CCUACGGGUGGCUGCAGUGGGGAAUAUUGGACAAUGGGGGGAACCCUGAUCCAGCCAUGCCGCGUGUGUGAAGAAGGCCCUCGGGUUGUAAAGCACUUUCAGUGAGGAAGAACGCCUGGUGGUUAAUACCCAUCAGGAAAGACAUCACUCACAGAAGAAGCACCGGCUAACUCCGUGCCAGCAGCCGCGGUAAUACGGAGGGUGUGAGCGUUAAUCGGAAUUACUGGGCGUAAAGCGCGCGUAGGUGGCUUGAUAAGCCGGUUGUGAAAGCCCCGGGCUCAACCUGGGAACGGCAUCCGGAACUGUCAAGCUAGAGUGCAGGAGAGGAAGGUAGAAUUCCCGGUGUAGCGGUGAAAUGCGUAGAGAUCGGGAGGAAUACCAGUGGCGAAGGCGGCCUUCUGGACUGACACUGACACUGAGGUGCGAAAGCGUGGGUAGCAAACAGGAUUAGAUACCUUAGUAGUC
rnacentral:rRNA from 1 species